UACGUAGGGUGCGAGCGUUGUCCGGAAUUAUUGGGCGUAAAGAGCUUGUAGGCGGUUUGUCGCGUCUGCCGUGAAAUUUCGAGGCUCAACCUCGAACUUGCGGUGUGUACGGGCAGACUAGAGUGUGGUAGGGGAGACUGGAAUUCCUGGUGUAGCGGUGAAAUGCGCAGAUAUCAGGAGGAACACCGAUGGCGAAGGCAGGUCUCUGGGCCACUACUGACGCUGAGAAGCGAAAGCAUGGGGAGCGAACAGG
rnacentral:rRNA from 1 species